rnacentral:rRNA from 1 species
AGUGAACGCUGGCGGUAGGCCUAACACAUGCAAGUCGAACGGCAGCACAGUAAGAGCUUGCGCUUACGGGUGGCGAGUGGCGGACGGGUGAGGAAUACAUCGGAAUCUACUUUUUCGUGGGGGAUAACGUAGGGAAACUUACGCUAAUACCGCAUACGACCUACGGGUGAAAGCAGGGGAUCUUCGGACCUUGCGCGAUUGAAUGAGCCGAUGUCGGAUUAGCUAGUUGGCGGGGUAAAGGCCCACCAAGGCGACGAUCCGUAGCUGGUCUGAGAGGAUGAUCAGCCACACUGGAACUGAGACACGGUCCAGACUCCUACGGGAGGGAGCAGUGGGGAAUAUUGGACAAUGGGCGCAAGCCUGAUCCAGCCAUACCGCGUGGGUGAAGAAGGCCUUCGGGUUGUAAAGCCCUUUUGUUGGGGAAGAAAAGCAGCAGGUUAAUACCCCGCUGUUCUGACGGUACCCAAAGAAUAAGCACCGGCUAACUUCGUG